GCCUCAUCCUAAUAAAAAAGUUCUCUCUUCUUUCAUUCUUUAAAAAAAGCGGAUGAUGAUGAUAGCCUCGAGCUUCGUGGAUUAGUUGUAUUAUUUCUGGGUAGAGGUAGCUUUGAGUGAAAUAGCAGGAAAUCUUGAGAGCACAGAUAUUGAUUGCACAAAUCUCGGUUGCUCCAAAGGUUGCUCUUUUGAAAUCAAUUUCCAUUGCACUCGGGCCCUUGCUUUCAUUCUCAGGACAACACAAAUCUCUCUUUCUCCCUUAUGAUCAUCUGUUCUGGCUUUAACCGCCUUCGUCCACUGUCGUUGGUGCUUGUGAUUGGACCCUUAAACUGGACGAGCAAGUUUGCUCUCUAUUCUUCAGGGAGAGAGAUUUCGGUCCCAAGUCCUUGUCCGUGUAAUCCAGCUGCUUCUUAACGAAGGCGGUACAUGGAGACCUAGGUUUGAGACUGUUUCAAAGCCCAAAUUGGAUUUCUUUGCUUCGAUCCUCCUCCUAAAUAGAAAAGCUUCGAUCUAAUGCUUGAGAAGUUGAGAAACUCAUGGGUAUGGUAUUUAUUCCAUAGCCAUCGGGCUUUUGCUUGUCGUGUUCUCGUGGGUAACCCCUUGACUCAAAUUGACACGGUGUUCGUCACUGCUUGGAGGAAAAGGGCAUUUACAGCUGCCCUUUAAUUCAUUGUCGAUCUUCAACAGUAGGGAAGAAGAAGAGCUAUGAUCAAAAUAUUCACAGCUUGCUCAAAAAGAACGAUAUCAAAGUUUGAUAAACUUCUUGAAGUAGCAGAGAGCAAUAAUGAAUAGAAGUCAAUUGAAUUUUUCAACAUAGGAUAUGGAAUAUUAUGAGUUCUUGAAAGAGCUUGAUGAGGAACUUCUACAAUUUGAUGACGAUGUUGAAAUGUAAUAAAACUUCAAAUUUAUCAUGCAAGAAUGAUUGAGUUUGUGAAAACUGUGGCAACAAUGGUUACACAUUGCUAAGAGAUGUACAUAUUGGAAUACUUAGCAGCAGGAUAACACCACAAAGUGCAAAUGUAUUUGGUAUUGCCUUUGUAAGAGGUUACUAAUGGGGACAGAACUCAUGACAGCAGGUGUUCAAGAAGAUAAUGAUGAGUUUCCAUAAGUUCUAGCUGGCUGUGAGUCAUAUCCAUCAUCCUUACUGAAUAAUAGGGGAAAGGCAUUGAGAAAACAUAAUGAUAAAAACAUUAUUAGUUAUUUAGUCACCGCAAGUGUUUCUAAUUGUAAAUUACAAUUGAUGUUCAAGUUAGUGAUAUUGCAAAGGUUACUAGGUACUUUUGUUGAAGAUGAUGGAUCAACCAUAGAUGGUAUAUGAUAACAAUUCAGAGUAAGACUUAGAUUUUAAGCGGCUAGAUCAAGUUAGUCUUGUAAUAUUCGUAAGUGAGACUCUACAUCUGGGUGGCAUCUUAUGCUUGAUUGUUAACUCAGAAUUUUUCCUUGGUACCUUGUCUUUCAAAGGGAGUUAUCCGUGGAUGUUAAGAUUGGAGUAAUUGCCAAAAGGUUAUACAUUAGGAUUUUAGCCAGAAUUUCUAAUUAAGAAACAUCACUUGCAAGAGUUACUUGUGUUAUAUUGUUUAUAGACUGACAGAUUUCUUUUUGUAUGCCAACACAAUUGUAAUGCCUAGUGAUGGUAAGGACCUGUUUCUGUCAUCUUCACAUCAUAAAUUUCACCCUUUCUGGCUUGCAAUUUCUGAUUUUUCUUGAUCAGGAAAAUUAAUUCCUCGCUAUUCGAACAAGAUGUUGCCUAAAAGUACGUGUUUGCAAGCAUUGUUCUUGAAUCAAUGAUUCUUUAGAAGCUUCACCAUGAAAGGGGGGAAUUUGAGCAUUUGUUAGAAUAAUUUCUUCUAUUUAUUUUUUGUACAAAUAAUUUCUCCAAUUUUCAAGCUUUGUCGUCGUCAUUUCAAACUUUUUACUUUGUAGUAAGAGUCAAAAACCA